rnacentral:rRNA from 1 species
GACGAACGCUGGCGGCGUGCUUAACACAUGCAAGUCGAACGGAAAGGCCUGCCUUCCCUUGUGGAUUGCGGGUACUCGAGUGGCGAACGGGUGAGUAACACGUGAGUGAUCUGCCCCCAACUUGGGUAUAAGCCUGGGAAACUGGGUCUAAUUCCCGAUAGGACUGCAGGGUGGUGCCUGUGGUGGAAAACGAUUUUCUAGUGGUUGGGGAUGAGCUCGCGGCCUAUCAGCUUGUUGGUGGGGUAAUGGCCUACCAAGGCGGCGACGGGUAGCCGGCCUGGGAGGGUGGACGGCCACAUUGGGACUGAGAUACGGCCCAGACUCCUACGGGAGGCAGCAGUGGGGAAUAUUGCACAAUGGGCGGAAGCCUGAUGCAGCGACGCCGCGUGGUGGAUGACGGCCUUCGGGUUGUAAACUCCUUUCGACCGCGAGGAAGCCACCUGGUUGGAAGGGUGGUGACGGUAGUGGUAGAAGAAGCACCGGCUAACUACGUG